rnacentral:rRNA from 1 species
GACGAACGCUGGCGGCGUGCCUAAUACAUGCAAGUCGAGCGCAGGAAACUGACGGAACUCUUCGGAGGGAAGGCAGCGGAAUGAGCGGCGGACGGGUGAGUAACACGUAAGGAACCUGCCUCAAGGAUUGGGAUAACUCCGAGAAAUCGGAGCUAAUACCGGAUAGUUCAUCGGACCGCAUGGUCCGAUGAUGAAAGGCGCUCCGGCGUCACCUUGAGAUGGCCUUGCGGUGCAUUAGCUAGAUGGUGGGGUAACGGCCCACCAAGGCGACGAUGCAUAGCCGACCUGAGAGGGUGAUCGGCCACACUGGGACUGAGACACGGCCCAGACUCCUACGGGAGGCAGCAGUAGGGAAUCUUCCACAAUGGACGAAAGUCUGAUGGAGCAACGCCGCGUGAGUGAUGAAGGUUUUCGGAUCGUAAAACUCUGUUGUAAGGGAAGAACACGUACGAGAGGAAAUGCUCGUACCUUGACGGUACCUUACGAGAAAGCCACGGCUAACUACGUGCCAGCAGCCGCCGUAAUAC